rnacentral:tRNA from 1 species
UCCCCGGUAGCUCAGUUGGUAGUAGCGCCUGUUUGAAGCACAGGAGGUCGUCAGUUCGAUACUGACCUGGGGGG